CCUACGGGGGGCAGCAGUGGGGAAUAUUGCACAAUGGGGGAAAGCCUGAUGCAGCAACGCCGCGUGAAGGAUGAAGGCCUUCGGGUUGUAAAGUUCUGUCCUAGGGGAAGAUAAUGACGGUACCCUUGGAGGAAGCCCCGGCUAACUACGUGCCAGCAGCCGCGGUAAUACGUAGGGGGCGAGCGUUAUCCGGAAUUAUUGGGCGUAAAGGGUGCGUAGGUCGCACCUUAAGCGCAGGGUUUAAGGCAAUGGCUCAACCAUUGUUCGCCUUGCGAACUGGGGUGCUUGAGUGCAGGAGGGGAAAGUGGAAUUCCUAGUGUAGCGGUGAAAUGCGUAGAGAUUAGGAAGAACACCAGUGGCGAAGGCGGCUUUCUGGACGAAAACUGACGCUGAGGCGCGAAAGCCAGGGGAGCGAACGGGAUUAGAUACCCCAGUAGUC
rnacentral:rRNA from 1 species